UCCCCCUGGGUCCCUCCCAUAACACGCAGGAAUUCUGGGAGAUACAAUUCAAGUUGAGAUUUCAGUGGGGACACAGCCAAACCAUAUCAGCUGGUCAUUAAUUCUAUGUACAUUUUGCCUUAGAGAAUCUGCAGCAAUCAUUAAUGAGGCAUACAAUAAUAAGCAUAUAAUGGAUAUGUUUUUAUUCCUAAGAAAAUGUUUGGGGGGUCCUGAAGACUACCCACAUGUUUGGUGACUCACUAGAAGGACUCGUGGGACUAGGCAUACAGAUGCAUACAUGAGUAGGCUACAGAAAGGAUGCCCACAGGAUCAGUGAGGGAAAAAGACAGGUGGAGCCUGGAGAAAUCCAGGCACAGCCUUCCUAUGUUGUCUCCCUCCCCUUAGAGAGCACACUGAGUUUGCUUCUUUCUCCAGCAGUGAGAAAUGCAGUAAUAAAUGUGCAAUGUUCUGCCCAGGGAAGCCCAUUAGAGAUUCAGCAUCCAAGGUUUUUACUGGGAGUAGUCACAUAGGCACCCUCUGCCUAGCAACUACAAAAUUCCAGACUCCCCAAAGGAAAGCAAGUAUUCACCAUAAAUCACAUUGUCUGUAUAGUCUAGGCAUAGCAAACCAGUCUACAUCAGUCAGGGAAUGACUAAAUGCCAAAUUCCCAGAUGCAAGCCAAGGGCCAACCUUGCAAGCAGACUUUCUAAAGAUAGUAGCCUCAGAUCUGCUGUUAAUUCUUUUCUCCACUGUCUUUCCCCAUGGUCCUUGGCCACAGUGUCUUUGCAAUAAUAUUAUCAUCAGUAGGAGUCCAUGGAACAGGGUGAGACCAACCUGCAGCAUUGACCUCAGUUAUGCCAACCGUGGGUCCUGAAUUGAGCCAGUUAAAGCAAAUCUUAUUAACCCCAAGGUCUAGCCUAAAUUUCUAUAUUAUCCCCCUUUUAAAAAAAUGCCUGGCCUGAGGCAUCAAUAGGCAUAGCACAACUCUGGCCAGUAUGUAGAAGCUGAACUGAAUGCCUUCCAGGGCUGAGGCAAUGUUAUGAUAGUCAGCCUGCACAAAUUAAAAGUCCAAUCCCAGAGAGCACAUGUGGUAUCCCUGGAAACAAAGAGUUGACAAUUGUUAGGACACCCCAAGCAGGACAUACAUUACAUAUUUUAUUAAAUUUCUUAUACAAAUUUCUCUUUUAUUCCUUUUAAUCCAUUAUUUUAUGAAGUUUAUCUUUUGUUCUUGUUAUAACUGCUAACCCAUUUAUGGUUAAAAUUUCAUCUGAAAAGUCAUUUUUUUUUCUACUUCUUUUUACAGGAUCAUCAUUGGUGGUGGCGAUCCUUUUUAACCAGAAGCUUUAUAGCUGUUUAUCUUUUUACGUAUGCAGUUCAUUACUUCUCUGUCAAACUUCAAAUCACAGAAAUUUGCAAUUCGAGUUCCUGGGCAAGAUGGUCGAAUAGGAACAGCUCCAGUCUGCAGCAACCAGUGAGAUCAACGCAGAAGGCGGGUGAUUUCUGCAUUUCCAACUGAGGGACAGUUGGAUUUUUUUCCUGUUUCUGGUUAAUUGCUAAAAUCUACAGUGUGCUGAAGGUGGAGUAAAGUAUUUCCCCAAAGGGUUCCAAGCACAUCUCCCUUGCCCUUGAAUAUCUGUAUAUCUAUAUGAACAUCAAUUGAGAUAUAUAUGUGUGUGCUUCUAAUUACAUAAUUUUAAGCAUAUAUAUGUAAAUGUAAAAUCUCA